UGCUUUUUUGAUUCUGUUGAUUUUUUUUUUUUACUUCUAAUGCCCUUCCAUAUGGUCCAAUGAUUCUGCACAUUUAAACAACCUCCACUGAUAGCUGACUUACUCAUACCUUUCAGGAGGCACAGAGAAGCUGAAGAGCAUUACAGAUGCCCAUUGGAAACAUCCCUUAUAGAAAGGGUGAGGAGGAGGCAGAUGACAUUUGCUGUUUGUCAGUCAGCUCUCACUGUGCAACUUAGAAGGAAAAAAAAAGUUAACAGCACCAAUCCGUCAUCCUGGAAUAUGAAGGUGUGAGGGGAUCAAACCAGACAUUUCAUCUCAGAGGAGUCAUGCUAAAAUUGGGUAAUUUCUCUUAUGGAACAUUUUCGGAAGACCUUGUCUUAUUCCAGGGAAGGUGCAUGAAUCCGCUUAUAGCAGAGACACUGCAAAGACAGCACAGAGAAUUAUUCAAUCAACUCACCAAAAAAUCUCUUUAAAACACCACAAGACAAACUUAACUGUGUGAUAAACUGACUUCUCUGUCACUGCAUAAGUUCGUAAUUCUCAUAAUUAAACUCUGAUGAGGAAGUUGCAGUAACUAGUUAAAAUAUUGACCUUUGUGAGCCACAAGCAUAGAUGAGUACACAUAGUGCUGAGUAUACAAAAGACCGGCCCUGCUUCUUCUCACCUGAGUGCGUGCAAAAUGCUCUC
ensembl:lncRNA